UCGGGGGCAGGCCAGCGCCCCCAUGCCGCCCCGCCCAGGAGCAAGGCAGCGAGAUCCGCCCACGGGGACGUGGCCUUCAGCAGCCCGCUGGUGGCCGCCAGGUGUCGGUACGGGCCGGCCCGCGGCGCCCCCUGGGACCAUAUGGUCGCGCUGUGCAGCGUUAGCCACGGACUACUGACAUGGCUGGACUGUAAACGUGUGCUAUGGAUGAGUCAUCAUGGUUUCCGUAUACAGUACCGGGGCGUCCAGCUCUGUUGUAGCCCCGGGGGGGAGCUCAGCGGCCGGUGGCCGUCACAGAGGAGCUGCUGAGGCAGCAGAUCAGGGUCCGUGGCUCCAGCCCUCUGGUUCUCCUCUCUCCGGUCGGGGCCCGGCGCGGGGAGCGCCCUGAACCUGCCUGGUUCACGGAAAAGGAAGUGGUACCAGACAAGGCGCUGCUUCAGCAGAUCGUGAAGAUAGACUUCAGCGGCGGAGGACGAGAGGUAGAUCCCUACCUGGACUUUUUUCUGGCUCUCGCCAUCUGCAACACGGUGGUGGUUUCCACGGCAACAGCACAGAGAGAGAGGUUGAGCCAACUUUCCAGCGGCUCCGUCUCCACCGGCCCGUCGUAACGCCCUGUCCAGCCUGGCCCAGAAGGUGGGCUCUCUGCGCCGGAGCCUGGCCUCCUGGAAGCCCCUGACCCGGGGGGCCAGCCCGGACUCCCAGGUCCUGGCCCCAGAGGAGGAGGAG
ensembl:lncRNA